rnacentral:lncRNA from 1 species
AAAGUGUGGAAUAACAGAAUGUCAUGGCAUACAUUUAAUGAACCAACAGCACACUCAGUUUCCUCUUAUUUCCUUUAACGUUGUUUUUCCUUUACCCUAAUUUUCUCACUCUUUUGCUUCAUCUUAUUAAACUUUAUGUAUUGUUAAAGCCAUCAAAAAUCUUUUUAGAACAAAGAUAAAAAUAGAAGCCAGUUCCUGACAAUUACUACUUUUUAAAUGUUUACAAAUCGUAAGUAUAGUUGCCAUUUUUAGAAUUUUUCCAGGGAUUAAUAUCAAGUUAGAAAUUCAGGAAUUAAUAUAAAGCUGUCCAUUCUGUU